UAAAACUUUAACCCUUUUCCCUCCCUUCUAUUUUGUCUUCAGCUUCAUCUAAACCCACACACAAAUGCAAGAACUCUCUCUCUGUGUCUCUCUCUCUCCCUCUCUCUCUCUCUCUCUCGAAUAUAUGUACGGACAACACCUACAAGCAGCAAUCAACUUCCUACCCCCUUUUCACAUUCCCUUGUCCGAUCCCUCUAAGCAUCGGUGACAGGAGCCGAGCUCCGGGGACUCCUUCUGCCAACGCCACUCGCCCAGGCAGACACACCCCCCCACCUCCUCGCUUCUUCUUGAACCUAUCAUACAACACCCUCCUGCUCGAUUGAACGGCUGGCGACCACCACCGUCUGGUGGCGGCGGCACACGGCACGAGAUAAGAGAGAGAGAUCGGAGACGAAGGGUGACGACAGCGGUGGACGUCCGACCACGGCGGCGACGAUUCAGGUCACGGAGCGACGGAGACGACACCGGAGGUACGAGACCGUGCCGGAGAACCUGCAAGUGGCCGGAACGUCGGAGACAUUCGCCGGAACCAGGUUCGCGUCGGAGCUCAACUCGCGUUUCUUACGUGUUCGGAUAAUCUUUUCUUUCGAUCGGUUUCUCAACUUUUACUCGUGCGUUAUUUCACAAGAAAUCGCAACGCAACCAAUGUUGAUAGACAAGAUGAUGAAGAAAUCAAGUUAGGAUGGACUUAGAUACUCAUUCCAAUAAUAAACAAUGUUUGUUGCAAUUUGUCUUUAUUUGAAACAAUGUAUUGGAAAAUUUAAUCAUUUAUGAAAUUGGAUUUAAAUAAUAUUGUCACA